rfam:Capnocytophaga canimorsus Cc5, complete genome.
UCCUCCUUAGCUCAGUUGGUUAGAGCAUCUGACUGUUAAUCAGAGGGUCACUGGUUCAAGUCCAGUAGGGGGAG